CACUAUAGUUUCUCUUCAGAUCAAACAAAUCUUUUGCCUUUUAAUCAAGAUUUCUGUGGAGAGGAACGGAAAAAAAAAUAGAUCCAACAAUAUGUUGUUCAUAAGAAACAUAUUUCAAA
rnacentral:snRNA from 1 species